AUUCAUUUAGUAUAAAAGUAUAUUUGACUUCCAAUCAAAAGGUCUAUUCUUCAGAGUGAAUA
rnacentral:tRNA from 1 species